AUGUGUAAAAGUCUUAUAAUCUUCCGAGGUAGUGGGAUUAACAUCAUCUAAAGUCAUGACCACGCUCCGAACCCACUUUCACUACUAGGAAAAGGCUUGCUAGUGGCGCACCUGUUUUGGCUACUAAUGGCGCACUAUAGGUGCGCCACUAGCAUCACGCCAUUAGAUUUUUUUACUAAUGGCGCACCAGGCAGUGCGUCAUUAGUAUAGCUCAUGGUGCGCCAUUAGUAUGCCUCCCAGGUGCGCCAUUAGUAUGCCUCCCAGGUGCGCCAUUAGUAUGCCUCCCAUGUGGGCCAUUAGUAUGCCUCCCAGGUGCGCCAUUAGUAUGCCUCCCAGGUGUGCCAUUAGUAUAGCUCAUGGUGCGCCACAGGUUAUACUACCAGCUCUAAAAAUAUUCAAUUAUUAUCCUCACACCCACAAGAAGGUUCAAGAUAAACACAUAUUACACCAUAAUGAAAAUAUGUUUAUAAACAUGCACAUACAUUGAACGCAAGUUGACAAACAAAUUAACCUAGAGGAAGCAUAGUUUUGACCAUCUUAACAAUCAUCUAGAACACACAAGUCACAAGAAGAUAAGGACUAUUGGGUACUAUGAGAGACUUCACAUGGUCCAGAACACACAAGUUUGUAUCUACAUGCACAAAGUGCAAGCUCCAAAACACUCGAAACACCAAAUGGUCUACAAGACAAUAAGGUCCAUGAUUACAGGUUGGUUGGUCCAUAAACGCUAGAGAGUCAUCAUGUCCAUGUGCAUCAAUUGGUUGAGUACCUAAAAACAUUUUGCACAAAUUUGUCAAGAAAGUGGAACCAAAUCAAGUUGUUAAAAUCUCAUAUGCGUAUUAAAAAUAUUCGAUCAAAAGAUUAUCAUGGUAUCAUAGUUAACAAUAUAGUUUCUAUAAAAGUUAUAAUCAUCUCACAUGCUAUUAUAUAGAACUAUGUUCCAGUGCUUGUAGUUUUAUCAACAAUGAAUGCAUUGAGCAUCUUAAACAAAGAUUGUCAUGAUAUCAUAGUUAACAAUAUCGUUUCUAUGUGGUUAUUUUCACACGUUGACACACAUUUGUCUUCUACUAAUAAGAAACUAACAUUUAUUAUCAUGAAGUUAAGGAGUGUGUGCUCAUCGUAGUAAUCAUAUAAGUAUGAUGGCACCAACACAUUCUGAUGUAGGUGCAGUCAUCAUGACCUUCCACAUAAUUAAGGACAGAAACAUCUAUCUAAAUAAAUGACAAGAGUACAAAACAAAAGACAGAUGAAAUUAAGUUGAUUAGCUUGUAGAAUCAGGGAUAGUGGUGAGCUUAGGCAGCUUUGAAAUAUGAUUUUUUAGAAUAAAUUAAGUUGUGUAUAAUUGUAUAUACCACCUGAAAAAUGAUGCCUUUAGUAUAAACCAUGGAAGCCAGAUUUCAUAAGACAUUGCUUCGGCCGAGUUUGGCAUUGUAUUUUUUUUCAAAAUCACACUACUCUAAAAUCACAGGAUUAUAAUGAUGAUUUUAAUCAACCACCACAUACACUGGUAUCUCGGAGGAAAAAAAAUUAGUCGGCAAUUAUUUUUUAUCUACAAAAUCAGAACUUAAACUUUGUUGUUGCUUCAAUAAAAACUUGCAUAUUCAGUUUUAAUUCGCGAAAGAUGGGUUUCAUCUCUCUGUUCUGUUUCUAAAAGUGAAUGGCACAACUAAUCACAAACCUCCUACAAUCUGACCAGUAUAUGAUUUUCAUCAACCACCAAAUGAGUCAUACUAAGCUAUCAUAUGCGUAUUCUCAAGAUACAGUAGCAGGUGAACAAAUAUUCAGUGUUAAUGAGCGUGAUAUAUCACAGAAAUUGCCAUUGCUUUGCUUGGCAAAUGAUUUGGACAAACAUAAAGUAAAAAUGAACAAUGUGCAAGUUUCUCCUACCGGCAUUCACCCCAUUGAUAUCCUCUGUGAGAAUGAGAUCAAGCGAUGCAUCAAAAUCACUAUGCCCAAUCACCGAGAACAAAAUCUCUUCCUUCAGAAAAACAAUCAGGAGAAAAAGAACUUAUGUUAACUAAGUAAAUAAGCAACUCAGAGGACCUCAAAAUAUUCUUGUAAACUUAGUGCUUAGAACAAGAUUCCAUAAGGCUUACCAACGAAAUGUCACGGUUAGUAACCAGAGUGUAAUUUGUCUUCUUCUCAAAGUGUUUCUUUCAGCAUAUGCCAACUCUGAAUAAUUUAGAAAUAACAAGAUUAUCAAAUUUGAGAAUGUUCAAGAGAAAAUGUGCAAUACUUGCUAGGCAAACUCAUAAUUAUGGAUUAUCAGGUGAAAAAAACCAAUUCACAUAGCUAAACAACUGUUUUGGUCGUUAGAUAAACAAUCAGAUAAUCAGCUCGAAAAUAGGCAGUACAGAGUAACAAGUUGAACUGUUUACAUUUUAUAGAACUUCCAGAGAACAAACUCAUUAUGUAUACAAGUAAAAGCACUCCAUGUAUAGAUUCACCGUUUCAACAUAACAGAGGUAGCGACUUUGAUGAUGAUCAGAUUAAGCAAAACUAUCAUUUCAGAAUUCACAUUAGCAAAGAUCAAACAAAAUCAUAUGACAGCUCUAUCAACUCCUUCUUAACAGUUGGGACGAACAACAUCAAGAUCAAACUCAAGAAUAAGUAGGUCCAUGAGUUCACCAUCAAUCAUAUUCGUAACACAUCAUACGCAUCUCACAUGUUACACUAAAAAUGGAAAUUAUGCAGAUAUAUGGCCUAAGUGAUAUAAAGAUCCAGGACAGUUAUACUUGAGCACUAACAGGAAACAUGGUGUCAUUUUGAAGAACAGAUCAGUAUUCAAGUCCCCCACAAACCACAAUCCUAGUCAGACAUAGCAUUGUCCUUUAUACAAAUUACCAAACACCGGAAAAUGGUGACAAGACUCAAUUGUUUCGAGAACCAGAAUUCACCAUAACCAGUGUAGGUUCGUACUAGCAAAAAUAAUCAUAAUAAAUCCUUUCACACAUAAUUGAAUGGUAUUUUAGCUCUGCACCUAAAGCCUUUAAGCAUAGAAUUUAACUUCACGAGCAACACUGAGUACAAAUUAGAGAUUUGUUUACAUAGAUUCCAUUUUUUUAAUUAUUUGAUCCUUUCAUUUUUAUUCUUGAUUGAAGGUAACCGAUCCUGAUGAUCGGUCUCAUACAUUGUAUGACUACAUGAUUCGCCAGAAUCCUUCGGUGGGUACAAUGAUGGAAUUGUCAUAUAAUUCCGUUGUGGGAAUGAGUGAUCAUGAGAGCUUCAUAUGAUUGAAAUUAAACAUACUGAAGUAUUAAGCUCCUAUUCUCACAUUGCAAGAGUGGCCGAUGCAGGAACAGACUUUGCAGCUUUUGUCCAGUACAUUGGAGUCCCUUCACUUGACAUAUCUUAUGGACUAUGUAUGUGUGCUCAUUAUUUUAUCGGGUAAUCAUGCAGUGGCGAGCAUCUGGUUUAUCGGGUAAUCAUGUACUGGCGAGCAUCUCGUGUCUGACUGCCUUGAGACUUGCAGAUGAUGAGAUCAGAUCAUUCCCUUCAAUUAUGUCUCCUACGGGUCCAAACAGGAGGUAUCUUUUCUUCUGGAAAGUGAGAUAUGCAACUUUUAGACACACAGGGUAGUUCCCUCAUUUAGUUUCAUCAAGGAAACUAAAACAGAAUCAUGAUAUAGACUCGCUUCUUAUUGAUUGGUACACAGGUUUUCAUGAAAUUAUCAUUAAGUGUGGUGUGUAGAAGUAGCUCCAAGAAUUACAAGGGUGCAAGGGCCUUAUUUCUUAUGGAAUUGUAUUUUGUUAUUCAUAUGUGGAUUAUUGACUUGCCAAAUCAUUGACCUCCUAUAGUAUGAUUAGAUCAAUAUAAAGAGUGUGGAUUCUAUUUUUUUAACAAACUCCCAAAUGAAACCAUUGUCCAGUGUUUAUAUUGGUUGGUGGUAACAUCUACCUUAUAGUUAGGUGGCUAUUUGAUCAAAAUAGAAACUCUCAAGUCCGUAGAUGACCUACAAACACAGAGGAACGUCUCAAAAGGCGCACCACACGUGCGCCCCUCCCCCUAGUCUAGUUUAAAUGGACGCUACACAAGGAUGAUCUCAAGGUUUCGCAUAGUGGAAACAAAUGCUGAGAUGCUGAAUGCCCUGAUCAAGUGUCAUAAAAGAGGAACCAUAAGUGUGCAAGCAAUCAGCUAGCAACUUGACCAUAGUCCUUGAAAUUUUUCUUAUGCAAAUGUCACAUGCUAAGGUAUCUGUAAAGUACUUAUCAUAAAUCAAUAAACACUCAGUUGGCCAGCUGAGUCUACAUCCGAAGGGUCAAUCCAGAAGCUUGGAUGGAAAAUAAAAAAAUAAAAAAGAGAAGAGAAAGGAGUACCGCGAGAGACGCUCUUUCAGAUGUUCAUGCCUUUUGAGAACACCCAACACUGCAAAAUAAAAGGGCAAGUACGGGUAAGACAGUAAGUAAGUAGGGCAAGCUACUUCGUAGAAUCGAUAACACGUGGGUAAGAGGCAGAUGAUUCCUUGAGGGUACAAGAUAAUAAUAGCUACAACUACUGAAGAUAAAGGUCAUUACGCCGUGUACACGUGGUCUCGAGUUUCGCAUCGUCGUCUCUUGAAUAAGUCUGCAAAAGUUCAUGGAAGGGAAGGGGAGAGGCAAUUAACACAUAUGCCGAAGAUUUUACAAUACCAAUCCAUCUGUAGAUGAUAUGGUAUACCAGUUCCGAUAACGAGUGCUGCCGACGCCUCAGCUGCUGCCCGUGCUGGAAAAUGUAAUAAUGGGAUUAAACUGAAAGAACUGUGAAAUUUGAGUUCCUGAUGGAUUUAUCCGGCUAGACUAGACACGGUAAAUGCAGCAGUAGCAACAAGCAUCGUUGAGUAACGGGAGGGAGGUGGGUUUUCGGCCGGUCGUACGCACCUCCGUGGGGGAGCUCAGGGCCAGCGUGACGGAGAGGUCCAUCCGGCCCGAUGCCGGCCAGGGGCGGCGGAUCUCGACAGCCGCACCAACGGCCGGGGCGGAGGCAGCAGGGGCGGCGCGACGGGGUAGAACGGGGACGGCGGUGGCGUCCACGCGCGCGAGGCGCGGUGGGGAUGAGCUGUCGGCGGUGGCGCGGCGGCGGCGCUAGGGUGGACCCGCAGGAGGGAUUUUAGGACGGCGAUUUUGCGGAUUACUAGGGCUUGGAGGCCGCGUUGUGGUCCACACACCCGUGGGAGAGAUGGAUGGCCGCCGGGGUGAAGACGACCGCCGGAGGUCGAGGUGGGGAAUCCGCCGCUGGGCGUCGCCGGUUAGGGGUGAGCGCCGCCGGCGCUAGGAGCACAGGAGAUCGAUGACGACGGCCAAAGGAGGGCGGAUCUGGGCGUGCCAUGGCCGCCGACUAGGUGGAACUCCCUCCCUCCUCCCUCUUUUUGCUAUUUUGCGGUCGCGAUAGGAGCAGAGAGAUAACUUUUUUUGCAAAACUACUUAUGAUGCACCACCUAAAAAU
rnacentral:lncRNA from 1 species